GACGAACGCUGGCGGCAUGCCUAACACAUGCAAGUCGAGCGAGGACGUCUGGUGCUGGCACCAAUUGGAAGAGAAGGGGACGGGUGAGUCACGCGGGGUGGGUAUGACUUUGAGAGAGGGGCAACAAUAGGGAACGAAGUCUAAGACCGAAUAACAACUUUAAACAGAAUGGGUCAGUGUGAAAGUAGCAAUUGUAUCACCCAAAGAUGGACCAACGCUGCAUUAGAUAGUUGGUGAGGUAAACGCCCAACAAGGAGUCGAUACAUAGCUGGUCUGAGAGGAUGAUCAGCCACACUGCGACUGAGACACGGACCAGACUCCUGCGGAUGGCAGAAGUGGUGAAUAUUGGACAAUGGGCGAGUGCCUGAUCCAUCAAUGCCGCGUGAGUGAUGAAGGCGUUAGGGUUGUAAAGCUCAUUUAACCGGGAUGAUAAUGACAGUACCGGGACAAUAAGCUCCGGCUAACUCCGUG
rnacentral:rRNA from 1 species